rnacentral:rRNA from 1 species
GAUGAACGCUGGCGGCGUGCUUAACACAUGCAAGUCGAACGAUGAAGCCCAGCUUGCUGGGUGGAUUAGUGGCGAACGGGUGAGUAACACGUGAGUAACCUGCCCUUGACUCUGGGGUAAGCCUGGGAAACUGGGUCUAAUACUGGAUAUGACUUCUCAUCGCAUGGUGGGGGGUGGAAAGAUUUAUUGGUCUUGGAUGGACUCGCGGCCUAUCAGCUUGUUGGUGAGGUAAUGGCUCACCAAGGCGACGACGGGUAGCCGGCCUGAGAGGGUGACCGGCCACACUGGGACUGAGACACGGCCCAGACUCCUACGGGAGGCAGCAGUGGGGAAUAUUGCACAAUGGGCGCAAGCCUGAUGCAGCGACGCCGCGUGAGGGAUGACGGCCUUCGGGUUGUAAACCUCUUUCAGUAGGGAAGAAGCGAGAGUGACGGUACCUGCAGAAGAAGCGCCGGCUAACUACGUG